AGCAGUAGCCACGGUAAUACGAAGGGUGCAAGCGUUACUCGGAAUUACUGGGCGUAAAGCGUGCGUAGGUGGUGGUUUAAGUCCGUUGUGAAAGCCCUGGGCUCAACCUGGGAAUUGCAGUGGAUACUGGGUCACUAGAGUGUGGUAGAGGAUUGUGGAAUUUCCGGUGUAGCAGUGAAAUGCGUAGAGAUCGGAAGGAACAUCUGUGGCGAAGGCGACUAUCUGGGCCAACACUGACACUGAGGCACGUAAGCGUGGGGAGCAAACAGGAUUAGAUACCCCAGUAGCCCUGUCUCUUAUACA
rnacentral:rRNA from 1 species